rnacentral:rRNA from 1 species
UACGGAGGGUGCGAGCGGUGUCCGGAAUCACUGGGCGUAAAGGGCGCGUAGGCGGUCUGAUAAGUAGGGGGUGAAAUCCUGCGGCUUAACCGCAGGGCUGCCUUCUAAACUGUCAGGCUCGAGCACAGUAGAGGCAGGUGGAAUUCCCGGUGUAGCGGUGGAAUGCGUAGAGAUCGGGAAGAACAUCAGUGGCGAAGGCGGCCUGCUGGGCUGUUGCUGACGCUGAGGCGCGACAGCGUGGGGAGCAAACAGG